GGGGGGUCCAGCCUGGGAGCUCCCCGCAGCGACUCGAGAGAAAGCAUUUUUCCAAAACUCCAGCAGACACUGCAUGUCCUGGAGAGAAACGGCUUCCUUCUGUUUUCCUUGACAUCUGUUAAGUCGGGGGGUGGGAGGGGAGUCGCAGUUGGUGCCCACUUGAUCCUUAACAUCACUUUAACACUUUAUCACGUCCCUUUUGACCCGGGGAGAGCCAGCCUAAAGCAGGCACCACCACCUGAAGAGUCUACUCUCUGCGUUGUUGCAGGCUUUCUGUAUGAUUGCCUUCAAGUGCUGGGGAUUUUUUUCAUUGAAUGAAAGUAACAGGAAGUGUCCAUUUCAAAGUUUCCUUUGCUGGAGUGCAAUGGCACGAUCUUGGCCCACUGCAGCCUCUUCCUCCCGGGUUCAAGGGAUUCUCCUGCCUCAGCCUCACGAGUAGCUGGGAUUACAAGCAUGCGCCACCAUGCCUGACUAAUUUUUUGUAUUUUUAGUAGAGAUGGGGUUUCACCAUGUUGGCCAGGCUAGUCUAGAACUCCUGACCUCAAGUCAUCACCCACCUCAGCCUCCCAAAAUGCUGGGAUUACAGGGGUGAGCCACUUCGCCUGGCUUAUUUCUCUGUCUCACAGUUCUGGAGGCUGGAAAGCCCAAGUUCAAGAUACCAGCAGAUUUGGUCCCUGGUGAGAGGUAUGGCUCGUAGAAGGUGCCAUCUUGCCACAUCCUCACCUCUGGGCCUCUUUGAUAAGGGCACCAAUCCCAUUCAUAAGGGUGCCACCCUCUCAUCAAAUCACCUUCCAAAGGCCCCCGCCUCCAAAGAUCAUCACCUUAAGGUGUAGGAUUUCAACAGAUGACCUUUAGUGGGGACACAAACAUUUGGAUAGUAGCAUGCCCUUAGGAGAUGCCUAAGAGGCCCCUUGACCUUGACCUACCCCUGGCACUGGGUGGAGCAAGCCCACAGCAGUACAUGGAGCCAAGUUAGACCUUGGUCCAGAGCUCCUCACUGGAGGACCCUGGUCUGCCGGGCCAUAGCGCCCCCAGCUGGAGUGGACCAGGAAGCCCUCCCCCUUCUCCGUGAGACCUGGAGGAAUGCAGAGUAUGUGAGCUUUGGGGUCAGGCCUCUGCCCUCUUUGUGGCUCAGUGUCCUCAACUGCAGAAUGACUGGUGGUGUUGUAAAACAGGUGACAUUGCUGUCAGGAUUCCAAAUGUCACCUGAGAAGCACCUGGAUUGGUUGGGUGGUUCAUGUUCAACUGAGCUUCCCCAUUCUGCUGCAGUCCUUGCUUUUGCCUUGCCUGGAGGGGUAGGGGAGCUGGGAGCAGGGCUGCCUCCUUUCUCUGGGCAGGAAUCCCAGGGCAUGGGAGCUUCAGGCCUUAGUGAAUACCUGGGCUGACUGCCUCAUCACAUAGACACUUUGUAGAUGGAGGCCCAGAGCAAGGCAGGGUCAGGUCCUAAGUCCCGGGGAAGGUCAGGAGAGCUGAGAAGCAGACAGGGGGUCCCAUCUAUUCCUGACGUGUUGGCUUUGCUGGAGAGGGGCAUUACCUACAGUCCUGCCCUAACUGCCCUCCACCCCCACCUCACGCUCAGGGCUGCGGCGGAACUGAGGCUUCUGGAGGGGACAGCUGGGGUCAGAACCUCUAGCCUCCUGUACCCAUCCAUCCCUCCUGCAUUGCAUGACCAGUCUUAGGACUAAUGACAGGAGGGCCAGGCUCUGGCACAGGAAUUUGAGGCUGUGACCGAAGGCCCGAGAUGAGUCACCCUGCCACCAGCCACAGGCAUUCAUAUUCUCUUCCUGUCCACCGGCAUUCAUUCUUGGCCAGCCACACUGGACAUCUGUCAUCCCCAGUGUGACCCAGAUGUGGGCAGGACAGGAGCAGGGCUGAGGACUCACCCCCUCUUCGUCACUGCAUGUAGACAGCAGCUGGGGGCCCUCCCCACUUUCCAGAGACAAAGAGAGGACCCAGCUGGGCAAGGGUUUCAUGGUCCAGCUCUCUCAGCCCCCCAUCCAGCCUCCAGUGGGACAGGCACAUGAUAUCAUGGUUGAGACUGCAAGCUUUGGCAUCAGACAGCCAGUGCACAAGACUCGCAAGCAUCAUUUCAUCUCUCAGAGCUUCACUUUUUAUAUCUGUACCAUGGGGGAGAAAACAGUUGUGUGAGGGGCAUUGUGAAGUUAAAUGUGAUGAACAGAAAGCACCCAGCCCAGUGCCUGGCAGUACUGCCCUUAUCCCUGAUCCCAUCUCUCUCUCUCUCUCUCUCAGUCCCUGUCUCUGUGUCUCCCACUCUCACUGCUACGCAUAGCCCCAUCUGCAACUGGGAUCCAGCUCUUGGCUGCCAGCACAGAGUUAUAAACAUUUCUUAUCUUGAACUCAGUGUUCAGGCCCCAGGGAGACUUCUUUGUAUCUCUUGAACAAUUCUCUCAAAAGAGAAGUUACUGCCUUGCCCAUGGUACAAAGAGUUGUGGCUGUGCCCUGCUCACAUCAGACACAGACACUACUUGGAAGAAUGGAGAGGACUGGUGGCUGAGGCACUUGGGAAGGAGGAAAAGUGAAUUCAUGUGUCAAAACAUCAUCAGAUGGCAUGGAUGCUUGCAUAAGGAAGUGCUAUUUUCCAGGAGUCGUAAAUGUUCAUUUCCUUGCGGUCUUCAAAUUUCAGUUCCCAGUACUUGUGAUAUGAUGUGGGACUGAUUGGCAACGUCUAUAAGUGAACGCUAAGGACCACUUU
rnacentral:lncRNA from 10 species